rnacentral:rRNA from 1 species
CCCGCGGCGCGGUCCUAAACAUGCAAGUCGAACGGUAACAGGAAGAAGCUUGCUUGCUUUGCUGACGAGUGGCGGACGGGUGAGUAAUGUCUGGGAAACUGCCUGAUGGAGGGGGAUAACUACUGGAAACGGUAGCUAAUACCGCAUAACGUCGCAAGACCAAAGAGGGGGACCUUCGGGCCUCUUGCCAUCGGAUGUGCCCAGAUGGGAUUAGCUAGUAGGUGGGGUAACGGCUCACCUAGGCGACGAUCCCUAGCUGGUCUGAGAGGAUGACCAGCCACACUGGAACUGAGACACGGUCCAGACUCCUACGGGAGGCAGCAGUGGGGAAUAUUGCACAAUGGGCGCAAGCCUGAUGCAGCCAUGCCGCGUGUAUGAAGAAGGCCUUCGGGUUGUAAAGUACUUUCAGCGGGGAGGAAGGGAGUAAAGUUAAUACCUUUGCUCAUUGACGUUACCCGCAGAAGAAGCACCGGCUAACUCCGUGCCAGCAGCCGCGGUAAUACGGAGGGUGCAAGCGUUAAUCGGAAUUACUGGGCGUAAAGCGCACGCAGGCGGUUUGUUAAGUCAGAUGUGAAAUCCCCGGGCUCAACCUGGGAACUGCAUCUGAUACUGGCAAGCUUGAGUCUCGUAGAGGGGGGUAGAAUUCCAGGUGUAGCGGUGAAAUGCGUAGAGAUCUGGAGGAAUACCGGUGGCGAAGGCGGCCCCCUGGACGAACACUGACGCUCAGGUGCGAUA